rnacentral:rRNA from 1 species
GAUGAACGCUGGCGGCGUGCCUAAUACAUGCAAGUCGAGCGAACAGACGAGGAGCUUGCUCCUCUGACGUUAGCGGCGGACGGGUGAGUACCACGUGGAUAACCUACCUAUAAGACUGGGAUAACUUCGGGAAACCGGAGCUAAUACCGGAUAAUAUAUUGAACCGCAUGGUUCAAUAGUGAAAGCCGGUUUUGCUGUCACUUAUAGAUGGAUCCGCGCCGCAUUAGCUAGUUGGUAAGGUAACGGCUUACCAAGGCGACGAUGCGUAGCCGACCUGAGAGGAUGAUCAGCCACACUGGAACUGAGACACGGUCCAGACUCCUACGGGAGGCAGCAGUAGGGAAUAUUCCGCAAUGGGCGAAAGCCUGACGGAGCAACGCCGCGUGAGUGAUGAAGGUCUUCGGAUCGUAAAACUCUGUUAUUAGGGAAGAACAAAUGUGUAAGUAACUAUGCACGUCUUGACGGUACCUAAUCAGAAAGCCACGGCUAACUACGUG